AGUCAGUAGAAAGGCCUCUUUAGUGUCCUAAGUUUUCAUAACUGUGACCUUAAUUGCCUACUGUCUGUAAGCUGUUAGUGUCUUAACGACCGUUCCAGAGGUGCAUGUUCAUUAAUUGUUUAUGGUUCAUUGAACAAGCAUGGUAAACAGUGUUUAAACCCUUUACAAUCUGUGAAUUUAUUUGGAUUUUUACGAAUUAUCUUUGAAAGACGGGGUCCUGGAAAAGGGACGUUUCUUAUUUUCUGAGUUUAAUCAGUGUCGAUGCGUAGCGUGCCUUUAGGAAGGUUAUUUCAGUGCCUGUAGUAGGCAGCAGAGGGCGCUGCGCCUGCAGUUUCGCCGAGUGGCUGCUGAUGGGUGUUUCCUCGAACGCAUACUUGGAUUUAGGAAGGAACACACACCCCAGUGACAUCAGUUAGGUUUGAAGAAGAAAAAAAGUCUCAGCUCAAACCGUGCAGUGGAGCAGCAAGGGGGCCGAGAGCGCCUUCCCGACUUUUUCAAUUAUAUAGCCCGCAAAGAGAACUGGACGAAACUAUAGGCUAUCAUCUCAACUACUAUAACUUGACCUCGUCAACCCGGGGAGUGAGGAUUAUAACACUUAUUCAGAGAAUAUGUCAACCUCAGACGAGGCAGACGGGCUUCGGCCGAGAUAUGGGUCUGUUCUGGAUGGUGUCGAGCGACUCACAGCAGAGGAGAUGGACGAGAGGAGGCAGCAGAACAUGGCCUACGAAUACCUCUGUCAUCUCGAGGAGGCUAAACGGUAAGACUGUUUUUCAUUAGUUGGUAAUUGCCUUUUUUUUUGGCUGGUAUAAAAAUGAAUAAAAGCAGACAUAUAAAUUCUGCCGGAUAUGUACCUGGGGAGACUUCAACCCGCAGUAGGAAAGAAGGGAAAUGGCUCUCACCACAGUCUGUGAAGGACAGAGAAUGCAAAUAGUCUGCCAUUGAUCCACACUUCCAAUGUGAGAGAAUACAGAAGUGUUCUUAGGGAGUCUGGGGCCCUAUAAGGAAACAUGGGCCAUUGAUCCACACUUCCAAUGUGAGAUAAUACAGAAGUGUUCUUAGGGAGUCUGGGGCCCUAUAAGGAAACAGGGGCCAUUGAUCCACACUUCCAAUGUGAGAGAAUACAGAAGUGUUCUUAGGGAGUCUGGGGCCCUAUAAGGAAACAGGGGCCCUGUUUCGUAUUCUAGCUCCAGUGUUGCAUCUCAGCUAUUGCAAUGGUGUUUGUUGUAAUUGCUGUCAUGGGCUUUACCUCAGAGUGUAUUAUAACAUGUGGGUGAACUGCUCCCUAUCGGACUUCCAUGUUCAGACUUGAAUUGCUUUAUUCUUUUUUUGAGGAACAUAUAGUUGGAAUUCUCACAUACUGCUGAGAUCAACAAUGGUUGGCAAUGUGAUCUUGAAUAGAAAAGCUCAAGUGUUGUAGAUUAAAACAAGGUUUAAUGAGCGUCAUGCAAGGUAAAGUGUGUGUGCAUGUGAAUAUCCUUGUUAAUUUCCAGCACCUGGAAUGGAACCUGUUGUUCUGGCAGUACAAAUGUCAUUAUUUUCUGAAACGUUGACUUCUGUAAGGUUAGACAUGUUUUUAUGUCCAUUUCAGUCAUAGUGCUCCCUAGGUAUCACAUUUCAUAUCAUGUUUGGACUGCCUUAUUUGGUGGUCAUUAUCACUCUGCUAUGUGUGUUAGCAACCCCUCUUGAGGUUGAGGUUUUUGUAUGUGUGUUGAAACCUGCUUGCAAUGCUGCAGUUUCCACAUUGGAUGUGCUGUUUACUUUCUCCCUGUAUAACAUGUGGUGCCAGAACUAACAUGCUAUACUCAUUCAUUAAUACCUGCUCACUGUCAUGUGAUGUUUGAAGUGUUUCAUAUUGUAGAAGUAUUGAAAAGUGUGUUUUGUCUGUUGUGGUGAUCAGGCCUACAGGUUAAUGAUGCCUGAAGUAGCUAGUGGCCUAGGUUUUGAGAGGACUCUGACACACACCCAUCCCCUAGGUCCCCCAGUGGACUCUCACACUCAGAAGAGGAAGGAGUGAACGAGACAGGAAGUGACUAAGUCCCUGUUGAGUUUAGUAUCUUCCGCUGUUGCCACAGAAACCCCUGGUCGUCAUAGCAACGGGUUCCGGUGUGAGUGUUUGUUUGACUGUAUGUUGUGAAGAUAAAACAGCAGUGGUACGCUGGUCUGUUGGGUCUUCCCCCUCUCCUGUGUUUUACCACUGUCUACUAGUUCUCUAAACAUGGCUUGACAAAUAUAUUGCUAAAGAGGUGAGAAGAGCCUUAUGUCAGGGCCUAGGUCCUAUGUUAAGUCUACGUACAGCGUUUUCCAAACACCUCUGAAGUUGUCUGUGAUUCUCUUGCAGUUCUGUCCCUACAGUAUCGCUAGCUGGUUAGCCUAGCACCAGAAUGAGCGUUGUGUGGUGACGUCACCCUGCCUGAGAAUUAAAGUAGUGUCACCCUUGCUCAACAGACUAUAGUUUGUUGUAGCGAUUGGUUAGAAGUUACAAUGCUGCUAAUUGAGUGUGAAUUGUGAUGUUCUGUGAAGUGCAGAAAGCCCUGCGUUGACUCCCAGGUCAGGACAGAGGCUGGACUUACUCUGUUAUAUAUAAUAAGACUCCAGCUCCUGAUAGGUAGGUGCUUGUUGUUGUUGUACAGUGUCAGGCUGGGGAGACCAUUGUGUUCCAAAUGGCAACCCAGCCCAUAGGGCUCUGGUCAAAAGUAGGGCACUAUGUAGUGCACUAAUGUAGGGAAUAUGGUGCCAUUUGGGACACU
rnacentral:lncRNA from 13 species